AAGAAUUCCGGAUGAUCGUAAAACAAUCUUCUGAAUUAAAACAUAAUGAAUUAAACCAAAUACGCGAGUAGUCAUGCUCAAGCUUGGAAACCUUCUGCUGGAACUUGAAAUGGGAAGGGUGAGUAGUAAAGGGAUAGUUUAAGGAAGUUUCAAUUACCAUUAAUCAGAAUACACUCAUACCAUGCUUCUCCGGCCCAGUAGUACAUAGCGGUACAAUAGAUCAGCAGGUUUUCACAAGCAUAGGUUAUAAGUGUAGGUGUAACUAAGGAAGUUUCAUUUAAUAUUUAAUUACAUUUAAUAUCAAGAUCAUAUUCAAUAUUAAACUGAUAUUAAUUAAAUACCUUAAUUAUAAUUAUUUUCUAUUUCUAUAUGGCGUCUGGAGAUUUCAGUAUGUUCUACAGUUUUCAAUUAAUAUGAUUUUAUACAGGUUUAUGUUAAGAGUAGACGUCUGCUAUUAAAUAUGGCUUUUUUCCUUCUCCUAGUGUGUAUUGGGGAAUACAGAGCAAUUGAAUGUAAAACUUCCCCUGCUCUGUCUGACAGGUUACAUGAAGCAAGGAGACAAAAAUGAUGUCUUAUAUGUGAACAAAUAUUGUACUAAUUACUUCUUUUGUAGAGGUCAGUACUGAACAUGAUGGCAAGUAGUCUCAGUAACAGAUUUGAAAUCAUACAAGAACAAGAAAAAAAGAGAAUAACUACUGGAGAAUAUAUCGUCCCGACUAAUUAAUUUUACUAACUGAUUCUUUUAAACAAUGGAUACUUAUUAUCCAUUAGGCAUGGUGCAGAGGGCAGAAAGAAGACAAAGAACGAAGAUAAAAGAAGCCUUUUUCCUCAAGAAGAUUGUAAUCUAGUGGUGGAGCUGGAAAAUAAAGGAAAGCAGUGGCCAUGUAUGUCAUGAGGACAUUCCAGUAACCCCAUGUGGUAAGGAACCAAGUCAGCCUGCCAACAACCACUGAAAAACUGAGCCCUCCUGCUGACAGCCAUGUGAGAGGAACACCUGGGAAGUGGAUCCUCCAGGCCUGGUCAUACUUCAGAUGACUGCAGCCCAAGCCAACAUCUUGCUUGAGUGGAGCCUCAUGAGUGACUCAGUCAAAACCACACAGCUGAGAUAUUUCCAACCCACAGAUACUGAGAUAAUAAAUGUUUAUUGCUACUAGGUUUCCUUCCUUCCUUCCUUCCUUCCUUUUUCUCUUCUCUUCUCCUUCCUUCCUUCCUCCCUCCCUCUCCUCCUCCUCCGUCUUCUUCCUCUUCCUCUUCUUCCUCUUCCCCUUCCCCUUCCUCUUCCUCCUUCUUUCUUUCUUACUUUCUUUCUCUUUCUUUCUUUCUUUCUCUAUGAAAAUAUCAGGUGUACUAUAUUUUACCUGCCUUCAUGUAUAUUUGAAUAAUUCCAUAAUAAAACUUUUUAAAAUUCA